UACGUGCCAGCAGCCGCGGUAAUACGUAGGGUGCAAGCGUUAUCCGGAAUUAUUGGGCGUAAAGAGCUCGUAGGCGGUUUGUCGCGUCUGCUGUGAAAUCCCGAGGCUCAACUUCGGGCUUGCAGUGGUACGGGCAGACUAGAGUGCGGUAGGGGAGAUUGGAAUUCCUGGUGUAGCGGUGGAAUGCGCAGAUAUCAGGAGGAACACCGAUGGCGAAGGCAGAUCUCUGGGCCGUAACUGACGCUGAGGAGCGAAAGGGUGGGGAGCAAACAGGCUUAGAUACCCUGGUAGUCCACCCCGUAAACGUUGGGAACUAGUUGUGGGGUCCUUUCCACGGAUUCCGUGACGCAGCUAACGCAUUAAGUUCCCCGCCUGGGGAGUACGGCCGCAAGGCUAAAACUCAAAGGAAUUGACGGGGACCCGCACAAGCGGCGGAGCAUGCGGAUUAAUUCGAUGCAACGCGAAGAACCUUACCAAGGCUUGACAUACACGAGAACGGGCCAGAAAUGGUCAACUCUUUGGACACUCGUGAACAGGUGGUGCAUGGUUGUCGUCAGCUCGUGUCGUGAGAUGUUGGGUUAAGUCCCGCAACGAGCGCAACCCUCGUUCUAUGUUGCCAGCACGUAAUGGUGGGAACUCAUGGGAUACUGCCGGGGUCAACUCGGAGGAAGGUGGGGAUGACGUCAAAUCAUCAUGCCCCUUAUGUCUUGGGCUUCACGCAUGCUACAAUGGCCGGUACAAUGGGCUGCGAUACCGUAAGGUGGAGCGAAUCCCAAAAAGCCGGUCCCAGUUCGGAUUGAGGUCUGCAACUCGACCUCAUGAAGUCGGAGUCGCUAGUAAUCGCAGAUCAGCAACGCUGCGGUGAAUACGUUCCCGGGUCUUGUACACACCGCCCGUCAAGUCAUGAAAGUCGGUAACACCUGAAGCCGGUGGCCUAACCCUUGUGGAGGGAGCCGUCGAAGGUCCCCG
rnacentral:rRNA from 1 species